rnacentral:rRNA from 1 species
UACGUAGGGUCCGAGCGUUGUCCGGAAUUAUUGGGCGUAAAGAGCUCGUAGGCGGACUGUCACGUCCGCUGUGAAAAGCUAGGGCUUAACCCUGGCCUUGCAGUGGAUACGGGCAGACUAGAGGUAGGUAGGGGUAUGUGGAACUUCCGGUGGAGCGGUGAAAUGCGUUGAUAUCGGAAGGAACGCCGGUGGCGAAAGCGACGUACUGGACCUCUUCUGACGCUGAGGCGCGAAAGCUAGGGGAGCAAACGGG